AGAGCGAACGCUGGCGGCAGGCUUAACACAUGCAAGUCGAGCGCCCGUAGCAAUACGGGAGCGGCAGACGGGAUAGUAACACGUGGGAACGCGCCCUUCGGUUCGGAAUAACUCAGGGAAACUUGAGCUAAUACCGGAUACGCCCUUACGGGGAAAGAUUUAUUGCCGAAGGAACGGCCCGCGUCCGAUUAGCUAGUUGGUGAGGUAAUGGCUCACCAAGGCGACGAUCGGUAGCUGGUCUGAGAGGAUGACCAGCAUCACUGGGACUGAGACACGGCCCAGACUCCUACGGGAGGCAGCAGUGGGGAAUAUUGGACAAUGGGCGCAAGCCUGAUCCAGCCAUGCCGCGUGGAUGAUGAAGGCCUUAGGGUUGUAAAGUCCUUUUAACGGGGAGAUAAUGACGGUACCCGUAGAAUAAGCCCCGGCUAACUUCGUGCCAGCAGCCGC
rnacentral:rRNA from 1 species